GUGGAAUACUUGAGGGGAAUACCAGCCUCCUGUUUCGUGAAAACAUACAAUUGGUCUUACAAAGUUUCUCAGACUGGCCUAGAACUUAUAGAUCCUCCUACCUCAGCCUUCUGAGCAGCUUCGAUUAAAGGUACACACCAUCACAUCCAGCCAAGACUGCAUUUCUAACAAGUUACUGAGCAAUGCUGAUGCUGAUGUUACUGGUUUGGAAUCCACAUUUUAGGAACCACAGCUUUAGACUUUGAUCUGACCUGGAGAUGGACUUACUUGGGACCUUUCAGGUGAAAUUACAUUAGGUGGCUGUUCAGUGUCAGCCAUUAGAGACCACGUACACAAUUAGGACCAGCUUCUCUCUGCUUGGGGCUAAGACUGCUAGAAGAAAUUGAGGGUCAGCCAAUUUGCACAUUGGGAGAGCGAAGGGAAGAAAGAAGAUUGACGUUGUGAAACCUCUGCCAGUUGAGUUCUACUGCCAAAGGAGGGAUUACAAACUCAAAUGCCUGCAGAGGUCAGGCAGGACACACAAACCAGAGAGCCUGGUGGAUUCCGGUGAAGAGACGCCCUCUUGCCCAAUGGAAAGGGGCAGCCAUUAGUCAGCUUUAACUCGUUGCUGCCAUAUUUGGCUGAGGAGGACCUCAUGGUGUCCAAUUUUCUCUCUUCCUUCUCUUCUCUUUCUCUUUUCCUCCUCUCCCC
ensembl:lncRNA